ACUACGGGUGGCAGCAGUGAGGAAUAUUGGUCAAUGGCCGAGAGGCUGAACCAGCCAAGUCGCGUGAGGGAAGACGGCCCUACGGGUUGUCAACCUCUUUUGUCGGGGAGCAAAGCGAACCACGUGUGGUUCAUUGAGAGUAACCGAAGGAACAGCAUCGGCUAACUCCGUGCCAGCAGCCGCGGUAAUACGGAGGAUGCGAGCGUUAUCCGGAUUUAGUGGGUGUAAAGGUUGCGCAGGCGGAGGUGCAAGUCAGCGGUCAAAUUGCGGGGCUCAACACCGUGCUGCCGUUGAAACUGCAUCCCUUGAGUGCGCGAGAAGGAUGCGGAAUGCGUGGUGUAGCGGUGAAAUGCAUAGAUAUCACGCAGAACUCCGAUUGCGAAGGCAGCAUACCGGCGCGCAACUGACGCUCAUGCACGAAAGCGUGGGUAUCGAACAGGAUUAGAUACCCGUGUAGUC
rnacentral:rRNA from 1 species